AGGAACUCGGCAAAUUGACACCGUAACUUCGGAAGAAGGUGUGCCUUUAGUAGGUGAAGUCCCUCGCGGAUGGAGCCCAAUGAGGUUGCAAAGAAUCGGUGGCUGCGACUGUUUAUUAAAAACACAGCACUCUGCAAACACGAAAGUGGACGUAUAGGGUGUGACGCCUGCCCGGUGCUGGAAGAUUAAAUGAUGGGGUGCAAGCUCUUGAUUGAAGUCCCAGUAAACGGCGGCCGUAACAAUAACGGUCCUAAGGUAGCGAAAUUCCUUGUCGGGUAAGUUCCGACCUGCACGAAUGGCGUAACGAUGGCCACACUGUCUCCUCCUGAGACUCAGCGAAGUUGAAAUGUUUGUGAUGAUGCAAUCUCCCCGCGGAAAGACGGAAAGACCCCAUGAACCUUUACUGUAGCUUUGUAUUGGACUUUGAACAGAUCUGUGUAGGAUAGGUGGGAGGCUUUGAAGCAGGGUCGCUAGAUCUUGUGGAGCCAACGUUGAAAUACCACCCUGGUGUGUUUGAGGUUCUAACCUAGGCCCGUAAUCCGGGUUGGGGACAGUGCAUGGUAGGCAGUUUGACUGGGGCGGUCUCCUCCCAAAGUGUAACGGAGGAGUUCGAAGGUACGCUAGUUACGGUCGGACAUCGUGACGAUAGUGCAAUGGCAUAAGCGUGCUUAACUGCGAGACUGACAAGUCGAGCAGAUGCGAAAGCAGGACAUAGUGAUCCGGUGGUUCUGUAUGGAAGGGCCAUCGCUCAACGGAUAAAAGGUACUCUGGGGAUAACAGGCUGAUACCGCCCAAGAGUUCAUAUCGACGGCGGUGUUUGGCACCUCGAUGUCGGCUCAUCUCAUCCUGGGGCUGUAGCCGGUCCCAAGGGUAUGGCUGUUCGCCAUUUAAAGAGGUACGUGAGCUGGGUUUAAAACGUCGUGAGACAGUUUGGUCCCUAUCUUCCGUGGGCGCUGCAGAUUUGAGGAAGCCUGCUCCUAGUACGAGAGGACCGGAGUGGACGCACCUCUGGUGUAUCGGUUGUCACGCCAGUGGCAUUGCCGAGUAGCUAUGUGCGGAAGAGAUAACCGCUGAAAGCAUCUAAGCGGGAAACUCGUUUCAAGAUGAGAUCUGCCGGGGCCUUGAGCCCCCUGAAGAGUCGUUCAAGACCAGGACGUUGAUAGGUCGGGUGUGGAAGCGCAGUAAUGCGUUAAGCUAACCGAUACUAAUUGCUCGUGCGGCUUGACCCU
rnacentral:rRNA from 1 species